rnacentral:tRNA from 1 species
GGUCCUGUGGUCUAGUGGUUAGGACACAUGACUCUGAAUCAUGUAACCCGAGUUCAAAUGCAGGACCU